rnacentral:tRNA from 1 species
AAGAUUUUAAGUUAAUUUAAACUGUUAACCUUCAAAGUUAUUAAUAUUAAGAUUUAAUAGAUCUUA